GACGAACGCUGGCGGCGUGCUUAACACAUGCAAGUCGAACGGAGUGGCGAACGGGUGAGUAACACGUGGGUGAUCUGCCUUGCACUUCGGGAUAAGCUUGGGAAACUGGGUCUAAUACCGGAUAGUGCAAGGUGGGCUCGCGGCCUAUCAGCUCGUUGGUGGGGUAAUGGCCUACCAAGGCGUCGACGGGUAGCCGGCCUGAGAGGGGGUACGGCCACAUUGGUACUGAGAUACGGCCCAGACUCGUACGUGGGGCAGCAGUGGGGAAGAUUGCACAAUGGGCGGAAGUCUGAUGCAGCGACGGCGGGUGGGGGAGGAAGGUCUUCGGGUUGUAAACUCCUUUCGACAGGGACGCGGUACCUGUAUAAGAAGCACCGGCUAACUACGUGCCAGCAGCCGCGGUAAUUC
rnacentral:rRNA from 1 species